ACCCUCUUGUAGCCCUUGGAUCUUAAGCAGACGCUAAGUUUGCUUCUGCCUCGGGCCGGCACUGAAUAUGCAGAUUCCAAUAAAAACAGCCCCAUUUCCACACAAUUUUGACUUAACAUUGUUUCCCCUGCUCUUUUAUGUCUCAUGUCGCCUUUGGUGUGUCCAUUUUAAAUCUAGAGUUGGUGUGAUGGUUGCUGAUUUACAGCUGAACAGCUGUUUUUACUAUUUGAAAUCACAUUACAAGUCUUUUACUGUGACACUGUUUGCCCUACCUUAGCGGCAAGGGGCGUUGCUCAUGAGAUGGUGACGUCACGUGCGCGGUACGCCAUUGCAGAGCGCUCAAAGAAAAACAUAUUUUCCCUCCUCUUUUUCAAAGCUGUUAUCCAAUUAACGACCUUACUGAGCGUUUCCACCAAUAGGGUGUCGCGCUGCUAAGCUGUGCGCAGCUGCUCGUUUGCCCGGAAGAAGAGACAGCCGCCAUCAUUUCACCACCACGCAGCUUCUGACCUCAUGCCACCGCCGUUGCGCCGCAAAAAUAUUUUAGUUUUCUGACGUUUUCUUCCCCUGGACUGCCUAAAACAAAUACGUGAGGGAGAAGGAUUUCACAGAUUUUGGUCAUGCCAAGGUCUUUUCAGAAUUACUAUCAGACAAUGGGAUUGCUGGACCAGAUGAAACAAAAGGUACUGAUCCAAAUGUGUGUGGACCACGGCGUACCAGAGAAAACUACAACUCUGCUGUGAACCAUCUGCUAAUCAACAAUACAACAGACGUUGAUGGAGUAAAGUUUGGGUGGUGACACAGCUAAGACCUGCAUAUCUUUUCAAGAAAGUUGGUGUUCCUGACAUUUUCAAACCCCCAAGUUUAAACAACGUCAAGAAAUUAAUUCUCAAGGACUUCAGCAUUCUGUGUUGUUGUGAACAUCAUCAGAAUGAAGAGAAUGAGAAGCAAACCAGUGUCAAGAAGAUUACCCACUAAAGACGGAAUCAAACCUUGGCAGGACAUUUUGCGUGGAGGAGACGAUGAACAGGAAAAGAUGGUGCAGCAACAACUGAUCCAAAUCCAGCAGACUCGCUGAUGGCAACAUACCUACAGACAGGGCCCCAAAACUGGCUCUAGUCCAAGAAUUUCAGUAAACAAAUUAAAUAAAUGAAUAACACAUUAAA